rnacentral:rRNA from 1 species
UUGAACGCUGGCGGCAUGCCUUACACAUGCAAGUCGAACGGCAGCACGGGGGGUAACCCCUGGUGGCGAGUGGCGAACGGGUGAGUAAUAUAUCGGAACGUGUCCUGUAGCGGGGGAUAACCUAUCGAAAGAUGGACUAAUACCGCAUACGACCUACGGGUGAAAGCGGAGGACCGCAAGGCUUGGCACUAUAGGAGCGGGCGAUAUCGGAUUAGCUAGUUGGCGGGGUAACGGCCCACCAAGGCGACGAUCCGUAGCUGGUCUGAGAGGACGAUCAGCCACACUGGAACUGAGACACGGUCCAGACUCCUACGGGAGGCAGCAGUGGGGAAUUUUGGACAAUGGGCGCAAGCCUGAUCCAGCCAUGCCGCGUGAGUGAAGAAGGCCUUCGGGUUGUAAAGCUCUUUCGGCGGGGACGAAACGGUUCGUGCUAAUACCACGGACUACUGACGGUACCCGCAGAAGAAGCACCGGCUAACUACGUG